AUUUUCUUGGAAAAUACCUUAUAUAGUUAUAUCUUACCAGGAUUAAAGAAAUAUUUUGAGCACAAGUUAAAUGUUUUGUCCUACAAAUAUUUUACCGGAAAAAAACCCGAAAAACCUGAAUAACCCGAAAACCCGAUAUUGAAAAACCCGAGUUUUAUUGGUUUGGUCUUUAAAUUAAAUAACCCGACACAAUUGGUUUGGUUUGGUAAUUGCAAAAUUCGAACCAACCCGACCUAUGUAGCCCUAGGUGGCACAACCGGACAGGACUUGGUCCUUUAGCUCUUGUACUACAACCUGGAGGUAGAUCAGGAGAGAUUAAGGUCAAGGAAUGCACUCAGGACAGUAGAUGGAACUCCAACAAAUUGUCUAAGAUAGUCCAUCCUAAAUGCAAAGUCACAUAGAACAGAUUCAUGUCUCUCGCACUUAUGCAGACGAUCAAUGUUAUUGGAUCUUAGUUCUGAUGGAUAGUUCAUUUGUUCUUCUGCUAGAGAGAUCGGACAGAAAUAAAAAUGACACAUUUUCUAGGCUAUGGCACAAAGGAAUUCCUUUUAAAGCUUUCCUCUGUUGGAGUAUUCUGAAGAAAAAAUUUCAUUUGGAUGAUACUUUAUCUAGAUUUAGUCAAAAUAUUAUUUCCAAAUGCACUUGCUGUAGGUCCCCUCGAUCAGAAACCACCUCUCACUUAUUGAAAAUGUGACAAUUAAGAGUGUGGACCUAGUUUGCAAAUGCCAUGGGCAUCAGGUUGGAUUCUAACUAGAUUAGAACCCUUCUUGGAGCUGGUGGGUGCAUCAGUACAACAAUUCAUGCAAGAUCCUUCCUAUUUUCGUUACAUAGGAACUAUGGAAGAGAAAGUGUGCUUGUCAGAUGGAGGCUUUUCAUGGAGAGAGAAGCAAGCAGGAGCGAGAGGCGUAAUGAGAGGGAAGAUGGCUCAAUGGUGCUUGCCUUCUCAGAAAAGCUCAACUACUACACUAACAACAUGGCAUUAAGUCUAGCCUGCACUAAUUGACUUGAGAUACAAUCAUUUUAUGGGCUUAUACUAUGUCAUACUGGAGAUGGAUUCAAAGAUCAUAAUUGACAUGAUGGAUGGGGUACACAAACCUUCAUGGAAGCUUCAGCACUAGAUUAGCAAUAUUCAAGAAUGUCUUUGCAGUCCAUUGCUUUAAAUAUAGUAGCUGAUAUUCCAUCA